rnacentral:lncRNA from 1 species
CUCAGGCACUCCCACGGCCUCGGCUAUGAUACAGGCUCUUCCUGUUUCUAAAAUCCUAAAGCCUCAGCUUCCUCACAUGAGGGGCUCCACGUCCUCAUCUGUUUCCUGAAGAUGAGGAAUGCAGCCCUGGCUUCUGAAACGCUGCGGGAGGAGAGAGGCAGGGCCCAGCACAGUGCCCACGUCAUAUGGCGAGGCCUGAAGCGCUGCAGUCCCGGGAGAGGCCUUCAGGGCCCCACGGCCCCAUCCUGCAGGCCUCUUCUGCGAGACGAGGGUGGGCCGCCCGCUGCUUUCUGAGCCAUAUUCCAGGGCCCCUCCCCAGGCAGUACUUCAGUGGGUGUGGGCGUUUUGACAAGGACCCCAGGUGACUCUGAGCAACUGUUCGGUUUGGAAACCCUGCACGUCUUCUUCCAGCAGCUGCAGGGCCAGCUGAAGUCCUUGCUUCCUACUUGGGCCAUGGUUCUAGAGACAUUGGAGAGGCUGCAUACCCAGCGGGAAGCCCCAGCUCCAGAAAGCGUGAGAAAGUGCUUCACUAGGAGGAAGGCUGUUCACGAGCAGGCUCAGCCUGGUUCUCUUAUUCAUAUGAUGAAUGCCUUGGGCCACCACGGGAACAAGAUGUGUGGUGGUGGUGGCUGCCAGGACACUGGCUGCCGAGAAGACCCAAAAGGGCAGUGGGGAAGGGGGCCUCCAAGACUCUUGGAAUUAGGAACUCUAUUAAUACAAUCCACCGUAUUAAUAUGCUUGGGGAGAAAAAAUAUGAUCAUCUCAAUGGAUGAUUCAAAGAUAUUUGUCAAAAGCCACCAUCCAUUUCUGAUAAAAACAUUUAGGAAAACAGAAAUAGAUGGCUAACACUUUAACAUGAAGGAAAAAAAAAACAAUGUCUAUAAAUAGCAAGUCAAAACGCAGCACUAUGGGUUAAUAUUGAAACUACAAACUUCCAUUUAAAAUACGGAUGACAUAAGGAGGCCUGGGGACCUGCAAGUCCCUGCCGAGGUGUCGGACAAUGGCACACAGGAAGAGGAACGACCUUGCCAGGAUGGAGGCCUCAGCAUUCACAGGCGACGUAACUGCCUGCCUGGGGAACCGAUGAAAUGCAGCUGGAAAGCCAUCAGAAACAGUAAAAGAAGCCAGAGGGAUAUCUAGCUCCAGAAAUAUUACACAAAAGUCAAUGGUUGCUUUACAUAUAAGUGGCAGAAAAUAGAAUGAGAAAAAAGAUCUCGUUCACAAGAACCACAAAGACAGAAAGCACCUAGGAAUGACCUAAAGAGAAAGGACCAAGACCUGGGCUUACAAGAGGCAUCCCUUGUUUCUGGAUGGAGAGACGCUUGAUCUAAGAUUCCGAUUACUAUUCUGUUCAACCAUGUGCUCAAUGCAGUUCCAAUAAAAAUCGAGAGUGGGCUUUUCGGAACUUCCUUCGCCCCCAAGAUUCUAAAGUUCAACUGGAAGAAUAGUCCUGUGAGUAAAAUUAGUAAAGUUCUGGGGGAAAAAAGAGAGAACUAACCCUAACCUAUAUUAAAACUUACUAUAAAGCGAUAAGAUUCAGAAUAGUGUGGUACUAAUAUAAAAAUAGAAUAACAGAGCAGAACGGAAUCAAGAAAAACAUCCACUGAUCCACUUACAUAUGAUAAAAGUGGCAUUUAAGAGUCAAAGAAAGAUCGCCAACAUUAAGAAAACCGGCUAAUGUUUUAGGGUAAAA